rnacentral:rRNA from 1 species
GAUGAACGCUGGCGGCGUGCUUAACACAUGCAAGUCGAACGGAAAGGCUCCUGCUUGCCGGGGUACUCGAGUGGCGAACGGGUGAGUAACACGUGGGUGAUCUGCCCUGCACCUCGGGAUAAGCCUGGGAAACUGGGUCUAAUACCGGAUAGGACCACAUUUUGGAUGGUGUGGUGGAAAGUUUUUCGGUGUGGGAUGAGCUCGCGGCCUAUCAGCUUGUUGGUGGGGUAAUGGCCUACCAAGGCGUCGACGGGUAGCCGGCCUGAGAGGGUGUACGGCCACAUUGGGACUGAGAUACGGCCCAGACUCCUACGGGAGGCAGCAGUGGGGAAUAUUGCACAAUGGGCGCAAGCCUGAUGCAGCGACGCCGCGUGGGGGAUGACGGCCUUCGGGUUGUAAACUCCUUUCGCUAGGGACGAAGCGCAAGUGACGGUACCUGGAGAAGAAGCACCGGCUAACUACGUG